rnacentral:rRNA from 1 species
UGGGGAAUUUUGCACAAUGGGGGAAACCCUGAUGCAGCGACGCCGCGUGAUUUAGAAGGCCUUCGGGUUGUAAAAAUCUUUUCUAUGGGAAGAAAAUGACAGUACCAUAGGAAUAAGGACCGGCUAAUUACGUGCCAGCAGCCGCGGUAAUACGUAAGGUCCGAGCGUUGUCCGGAAUCAUUGGGCGUAAAGGGUACGUAGGCGGGUAAGCAAGUUAGAAGUGAAAUCCUAUAGCUCAACUAUAGUAAGCUUUUAAAACUGCUCAUCUUGAGGUAUGGAAGGGAAAGUGGAAUUCCUAGUGUAGCGGAGAAAUGCGCAGAUAUUAGGAGAAAUACCGGUGGCGAAGGCGACUUUCUGGCCAUAACCUGACGCUGAGGUACGAAAGCGGGGGUAGCAAACAGG